GACGAACGCUGGCGGCGUGCUUAACACAUGCAAGUCGAACGGAAAGGCCCUGCUUUUGUGGGGUGCUCGAGUGGCGAACGGGUGAGUAACACGUGAGUAACAUGCACUUGACUUUGGGAUAACUUCAGGAAACUGGGGCUAAUACCGGAUAGGAGCUCCUGCUGCAUGGUGGGGGUUGGAAAGAUUCGGCGGUUGGGGAUGGACUCGCGGCUUAUCAGCUUGUUGGUGGGGUAGUGGCUUAACAAGUCUUUGACGGGUAGCCGGCCUUAGAGGCUGACCGGCCACAUUGGUACUGAGAUACGGCGCAGACGCCUACGGGAGGCAGCAGUGGGGAAUAUUGCACAAUGGGCGGAAGCCUGAUGCAGCAACGCCGCGUGCGGGAUGACGGCCUUCGGGUUGUAAACCGCUUUCGCCUGUGACGAAGCGUGAGUGACGGUAAUGGGUAAAGAAGCACCGGCUAACUACGUG
rnacentral:rRNA from 1 species